rnacentral:rRNA from 1 species
UGGAGGCAGCAGUGGGGAAUUUUGGACAAUGGGCGCAAGCCUGAUCCAGCCAUACCGCGUGAGUGAAGAAGGCCUUCGGGUUGUAAAGCUCUUUCAGCCGGAAAGAAAUUGCUUCUAUUAAUACUAGGAGUAGAUGACGGUACCGGAAGAAGAAGCACCGGCUAACUACGUGCCAGCAGCCGCGGUAAUACGUAGGGUGCGAGCGUUAAUCGGAAUUACUGGGCGUAAAGCGUGCGCAGGCGGUUUGGUAAGACAGACGUGAAAUCCCCGGGCUUAACCUGGGAACUGCGUUUGUGACUGCCAGACUAGAGUGUAGCAGAGGGGGGUAGAAUUCCACGUGUAGCAGUGAAAUGCGUAGAGAUGUGGAGGAAUACCGAUGGCGAAGGCAGCCCCCUGGGCUAACACUGACGCUCAUGCACGAAAGCGUGGGGAGCAAACAGGAUUAGAUACCCCGGUAGC